UACGAAGGGGGCUAGCGUUGCUCGGAAUUACUGGGCGUAAAGCGCACGUAGGCGGCUUUCUAAGUCGGGGGUGAAAUCCUGGAGCUCAACUCCAGAACUGCCUUCGAUACUGGCGCUCUUGAGUCCGGAAGAGGUGAGUGGAACUCCUAGUGUAGAGGUGGAAUUCGUAGAUAUUAGGAAGAACACCAGUGGCGAAGGCGGCUCACUGGUCCGGUACUGACGCUGAGGUGCGAAAGCGUGGGGAGCAAACAGG
rnacentral:rRNA from 1 species